UACAGAGGUCCCAAGCGUUGUUCGGAUUCACUGGGCGUAAAGGGUGCGUAGGCGGUCGGGUAAGUCUGAUGUGAAAUCUCACAGCUUAACUGUGAAACUGCAUUGGAUACUAUCCGGCUCGAGGAAUGGAGGGGAGACUGGAAUACUUGGUGUAGCAGUGAAAUGCGUAGAGAUUGGGUGGAACACCGGUGGCGAAGGCGGCUAUCUGGCUCACAACUGACGAUCAGGCACGAAAGCGUGGGGAGCAAACAGG
rnacentral:rRNA from 1 species